CUGCUCAGCUGUAAGAGAUAAAUCGACAAACUUUGAGAAGCAAAACUCUUUUCUCUGGUAGAAGAAUAAAUGCCAAAAGAUCUAGUAUUGCUUGAGAAUUCCAUCUUUCAUUACUUAAGUUGGGUAUUUUUUGAAACUUUGAUCAUCAUCAUCAU